rnacentral:lncRNA from 1 species
UCACCAUAUUCUCUCCUGUCAAUCACACUUCUCUGCCUCACACUAAAAAAUCACCAAUGUUUUGUAAAAUUGAACACAUAAUUGAUGCAAUUACGGUGUCCAGAUCGGCUCUGCAAUUGUUACGGCAGCUGCGGCUAGUGGUUCUGGCGUAGGUGGGUUUCAGACUUGUGGUAGUUUGCAAGUGAAAUUAAGGGUUGGAUCCAUGUGAUUAGGGCUUUGAUGUGGUGGUUUGCAGGUGCAAUUAGGGGUUAUGUUGUUUGGUUCGAUUUGCUCCAGGUGUAGCAGUGGUAGUGGUGGGCCGGUGCUAAUGGCGGGUUGGUUGUGAUGGCAGAUGGUGAUGAUGGAAACAAGUGGUGAUGAUGGUCGUGGUUGUUUUUAAAUGGUGGUGAUGGUAGUUCAUAGUGGUUCGGUGGAUGAUGACUGUUUCAGUGUUAACGGACUCUAGUGGUGGUUGGGGAAGACAGUGUUUGGAUUAACUUAUUUUGGAGCUACUUUUGACUUAUUAACUUCUUAGAAGUUAAAAGGAACCCCAAACAUCCCAUGAGAAGGACUUUUAGGGUUAAAAGGAAUUCCAAACACCUUCUCAGAAGGACUUUUAUGUCUUGAAUUAGCUUUAAAAAGGAGAAAUUGAGAAGUUACAAAUUCUGACUUCUCACUUUUGAGAAGGACUUUUGAUAAGUCAUAAGUUAAAAAGGAAUCCCAAACACCCCCUCGGUAGAUGGGUCUGGUGGUGAAGAAAAAGAAAAAGAGAGUUGCGGUUUAAUUUUAUAUUUAAAUAGUAAUUGUGGGCCCACUUGUGUUUAAUGAUAAAUUAGAUUUUUUUUGUU